AACGAACGCUGGCGGCAUGCCUAACACAUGCAAGUCGAACGAGACCUUUGGGUCUAGUGGCGCACGGGUGCGUAACGCGUGGGAAUCUGCCCUUGGGUUCGGAAUAACAGUGAGAAAUUGCUGCUAAUACCGGAUGAUGUCUUCGGACCAAAGAUUUAUCGCCCAGGGAUGAGCCCGCGUAGGAUUAGCUAGUUGGUGGGGUAAUGGCCUACCAAGGCGACGAUCCUUAGCUGGUCUGAGAGGAUGAUCAGCCACACUGGGACUGAGACACGGCCCAGACUCCUACGGGAGGCAGCAGUGGGGAAUAUUGGACAAUGGGCGCAAGUCUGAUCCAGCAAUGCCGCGUGAGUGAUGAAGGCCUUAGGGUUGUAAAGCUCUUUUACCAGGGAUGAUAAUGACAGUACCUGGAGAAUAAGCUCCGGCUAACUCCGUG
rnacentral:rRNA from 1 species